rnacentral:rRNA from 1 species
GGAACGACACUAACAAUCCUUCGGGUGCGUUAAUGGGCGUCGAGCGGCGGACGGGUGAGUAAUGCCUAGGAAAUUGCCUUGAUGUGGGGGAUAACCAUUGGAAACGAUGGCUAAUACCGCAUAAUGCCUACGGGCCAAAGAGGGGGACCUUCGGGCCUCUCGCGUCAAGAUAUGCCUAGGUGGGAUUAGCUAGUUGGUGAGGUAAUGGCUCACCAAGGCGACGAUCCCUAGCUGGUCUGAGAGGAUGAUCAGCCACACUGGAACUGAGACACGGUCCAGACUCCUACGGGAGGCAGCAGUGGGGAAUAUUGCACAAUGGGCGAAAGCCUGAUGCAGCCAUGCCGCGUGUAUGAAGAAGGCCUUCGGGUUGUAAAGUACUUUCAGUUGUGAGGAAGGGGGUAACGUUAAUAGCGUUAUCUCUUGACGUUAGCAACAGAAGAAGCACCGGCUAACUCCGUGCCAGCAGCCGCGGUAAUACGGAGGGUGCGAGCGUUAAUCGGAAUUACUGGGCGUAAAGCGCAUGCAGGUGGUUCAUUAAGUCAGAUGUGAAAGCCCGGGGCUCAACCUCGGAACUGCAUUUGAA